rnacentral:rRNA from 1 species
AACAAAAAAUGCUUGGAGAAGCGAUUGGGUAGGGGCUGGGCUAGAUAACACCACCCUCUACUUUUCCCUUCCUCACAAAGCAAACGCACGGGCCAUGUUCUCCAGCUCCACACGCAACCACUCCUCCGCGUCGCCGCCGCCUCUGCCUCACCCCGACUCCUUCCGCAGCAAUGGCCUACCUCAUCUCCCCUCCGCCGAUGUGGUGCUAGCCACCACCACCGAGCCCUAGCAGCAAAGGGAGCGGUGGCUUAUUCCACGCGUGCAGCGGCGACCCCGGGAGGAGCUCAAGCCGCAGCGAUGGUCCACCGCGCCGGCGCCGUCGUCGACCGGCAGUGGAGGAGCAGCAGCGGCCAACGGCAGAUCGGCGUGUCAUGGGAGCAGACACGGCGGCCGUCACGGGCAGAGCAGAGCGAAGUUGGCAUGGCGGCUAGGCGGUUGUCCGGACUGGAUCCCGCCAUCACCACCAGCCACCGCCUCGUUUGUCCGUGUCCAUCUCGGCGAAACCAAGGGUCUGCCUCGUGUCCUGCGAGGUGACACUCCACCGCCACCGCUCUGCUGCUUCCGCCCUACGCUUCGCUCCCUCCCGUGCCAUCCUCACCUCCGACAAAAAGGACCUCUUGGACGUCAUUGCACAUGCUGGCCUCUUCCGACCCCGUGGCCACCGUGAUCAGGUAAUUGAUUUUGUGUUCCUGGGUUCGGGUAAGAAGCUAGUGACCUGCUCCAAGGACAAGGUUAUCUGGGUUUGGGACCUCGACACACAACACUGCCUUCAAAUUGUAAGAGAGCAGCUUCCCUUGCGCCGUCAUCCAUCCACCAACAAGCCCAUGACCAUGCAUCAGAGAAUGAAAAGCAUCUUUCACGCUGCCAACGGGAUCUGGACCAAUAAGAGGAUCAGGAGGACGAAUACAGUGGACACUACUACUCAGCAAGAUACAGUUCAAACCCUGUAUCCUCCUGAUUGAUCUCCCUUCGCCCCUGUUUAAGAAUCAUGUUUCACCCAUUCAGUGUUGUCUUCAGAAUUAUAGACACCUCAUUCUAUAAGGAGGCCGCCACCAAGAAGAGCGAGGUUGUGUCAAUGGACUCAGCGACAAGUUGUAGAAAGAAACAAGGCUUAUGUUAGGCAAAGUUGAUUAGGUUGUACUACACACCGAGUGCCUCCAUAAGAAUCUAGAUAAAAUGCCAUAAAAGACUGUUCUAGAUAAGAUGAUGGCUAUCAAUGUGAGCGACUGAGCUUUUAUGUCCAGAAAAUGCUCACUAAUAAAAUCUGGAAUGUCUUAUGUUUCUCAUCUUUUUUCUUCAUUUGUAUGGUUAAAGUUUGGCUUCAAACCAACAAAUAGUUAAUAUUAAAUUAAGCUAUUUUCCCGCUCCCCUCUUCAGUUGGCAAACCCAUCAAGGAAUUGUUGUAAUGAAUAUAUUUUAUAUGGUUACAUCCACAACAGGAAGAGGUCUUAAAUGC